CCUGAGAAACCCAAAAGAUCGAAUGGGGAGAUUCAUCGUCAGCGAUCCCGGCACGUGUGCGGUUCGCGAUGCGGGAGGCUUCGGUCUCACCGCACGCGUCCGCAUGGUUUUUUUGUCGGGUGUCGUCGGCGUGCACUUCUCCCCUAGUAGGACGUCGCGACCCGUUGGGUGUCGGUCUACGGCCCGGGUGGGCGCCUGUCAUGUGUUUCGCUUUAUCGCGUCAUGUGGCAGACCCCCGGUUGUCCGACCAGCUGCCCGGCGGUACUCGCACGAUAUCGAGCCGCAAACAAUCGAACUGCGUCCGGCCCGCCGCAAGCGAGGCCAGUGUUUCCCGGAUGUUACGGACCUAGAGCCGUCACCGGGCCUGGCCAGCUGUUGGUUGGCGGUGUCCUGGGACUGGCUAAUAAUAUUUAUGAUAUCGGUCAGCGACGCUACUGCUUUGGGUACUUUCAGGACCCGUCUUGAAACACGGACCAAGGAGUCUAACAUGUGCGCGAGUCAUUGGGAACUCUUAAGCCUAAAGGCGCAAUGAAAGUGAAGGUCGGCCCUGCGCCGACCGAGG
rnacentral:rRNA from 1 species